UACGUAGGGGGCAAGCGUUGUCCGGAUUUAUUGGGCGUAAAGAGCGUGUAGGCGGCCAGACAGGUCCGUUGUGAAAACUCGAGGCUCAACCUCGAGAUGUCGAUGGAAACCGUCUGGCUAGAGUCCGGAAGAGGAGUGUGGAAUUCCUGGUGUAGCGGUGAAAUGCGCAGAUAUCAGGAAGAACACCUAUUGCGAAGGCAGCUCGCUGGGACGUAACUGACGCUGAGACGCGAAAGCGUGGGGAGCAAACAGG
rnacentral:rRNA from 1 species